GAACGCUGGCGGCGUGCUUAACACAUGCAAGUCGAGCGGAAAGGCCCCUUCGGGGGUACUCGAGCGGCGAACGGGUGAGUAACACGUGAGCAACCUGCCCCUGACUCUGGGAUAAGCCCGGGAAACUGGGUCUAAUACCGGAUAUGACCACUGGUCGCAUGAUCGUGUGGUGGAAAGUUUUUCGGUUGGGGAUGGGCUCGCGGCCUAUCAGCUUGUUGGUGGGGUGAUGGCCUACCAAGGCGACGACGGGUAACCGGCCUGAGAGGGCGACCGGUCACACUGGGACUGAGACACGGCCCAGACUCCUACGGGAGGCAGCAGUGGGGAAUAUUGCGCAAUGGGCGGAAGCCUGACGCAGCGACGCCGCGUGAGGGAUGACGGCCUUCGGGUUGUAAACCUCUUUCAGCAGGGACGAAGCUAACGUGACGGUACCUGCAGAAGAAGCGCCGGCUAACUACGUGCCAGCAGCCGCGGUAAUACGUAGGGCGCAAGCGUUGUCCGGAAUUAUUGGGCGUAAAGAGCUCGUAGGC
rnacentral:rRNA from 1 species